AUUGAACGCUGGCGGCAUGCCUUACACAUGCAAGUCGAACGGCAGCACGGGAGCAAUCCUGGUGGCGAGUGGCGAACGGGUGAGUAAUAUAUCGGAACGUGCCCAGUCGUGGGGGAUAACGUAGCGAAAGCUACGCUAAUACCGCAUACGAUCUAUGGAUGAAAGCGGGGGAUCGCAAGACCUCGCGCGAUUGGAGCGGCCGAUAUCAGAUUAGGUAGUUGGUGGGGUAAAAGCCUACCAAGCCUUCGAUCUGUAGCUGGUCUGAGAGGACGACCAGCCACACUGGAACUGAGACACGGUCCAGACUCCUACGGGAGGCAGCAGUGGGGAAUUUUGGACAAUGGGCGCAAGCCUGAUCCAGCAAUGCCGCGUGAGUGAAGAAGGCCUCGGUUG
rnacentral:rRNA from 1 species